UACGGAGGGGGCUAGCGUUGUUAGGAAUUACUGGGCGUAAAGCGCACGUAGGCGGCUUCGCAAGUCAGAGGUGAAAGCCUGGGGCUCAACCCCAGAACUGCCUUUGAGACUGCGUCGCUCGAAUCCGGGAGAGGUGAGUGGAAUUCCGAGUGUAGAGGUGAAAUUCGUAGAUAUUCGCAAGAACACCAGUGGCGAAGGCGGCUCACUGGCCCGGUUCUGACGCUGAGGCACGAAAGCGUGGGGAGCAAACAGG
rnacentral:rRNA from 1 species